ensembl:lncRNA
CUUAUUCCAGACAGUCUUAAUAAUGAGAACUAUGUGAUCUGAAAUACUGAACUUCUGGAAUUACAAUAACUUCUGUUAAUAUGUGUGAUACAGAUUCCUGGAAACUUGAGGAGCAGUCUUCCAGCAGCCAAGGAAUGCAGUUCCCCCCGGAUGUGUGGGUAUCUUGCAGAAAUCGAACAGAAGUGGGACAGACCAGUAGUAAGAACCUAAAGACAAGAAGCUAAAGGCUUUCAAUUUCAAGAUGGAUCAAGUGGAGCAUAUUGGAAACCUGUAAACAAGAAGUCUCUUCUCCCAUUUUUUCCCCUUCAGUCUGCACCAUAGCAACUAUCUGAAUAUAAGGAUUUCAUGUCUUGUAUGAAGAAAUUUGUAGAGAAGCCUUAUUAUUCUUUUGUUCAUUCCUAUCACAAAGGUAUACUAUAUGAACAUACGUGAUGCUGUCUUAGAGAUUUGGGUGUCUCAUUCAUAGGAGGAAGCAAUUGCAAAUAUCAGUUUAGUUAAAAGUUUUUAUUUUUCUCUUAAGCUUUCUUCCCUAUCUGUAUACUGAGUUGCGAACCCUACUGCAAAGGAUUUGUGAACUUGUGCUGAAAAUAACAUGUGUUUUCUGACCUGAACAUUUCUCCUUCUCAGUAGGAAGAUCUACAGGUUCUGCAUUGGAUAAAUGUAAUGAAAUUGGUAGCUUUAAGAAAUGGAGAACAUAAAUGUUUCAGUACAGAGUUUGAAUAAUUAAAAUUUGGAACUAAGUACAUUUUAGCCUCGGGCAUCUUGCAAUUGCUGUUUAUGAGGAGGAUGUUAUUUUAGAAUGACUUGGAUCCUUGGUCAAUAUUACUGAUUUUAAGACUGGUUAGCCCUUAUACUGCAAGUUGAAGGUAUGUUGGGGGGGGGAGAAAAAGGGCAAUUGUUUCUCAUAGGAUAGACACAAAAAGCUGUAGCCACAAGAUAAAUGCAUUGAAAGCAUUUUUCUUACUGGACCCAGUUCUAAGCCUGUAUACUAUUUUUCUGCAGUUACAUACAUUUUUUUUCUACUGCUGACUGUCUGAUAUUCGUGAAAGUGCUCUCACAGUAGGUCUUAAACUUGCAUAUUCCCCUCUGGAUGCCCAACGUCAGAUGCACACAGGAUGUCUUGACUUCAGAGGUGCUUAUUGUCUACAACCUCCCUGGACUUCAGGAUCCAAGUGUACUAAUACAUCUAAGUUAAAAUAGAUUUGAAAUUGUUACAGGAAUGGUAUCUGUUACUUAAAGUCCGUCAGACUUUUAGCACUUCCUUUCUGAUGUCUUAGGCGCAUCAGUAACUAUACUUUGUCUUAUCUUUGUCAAAGUUUCUCUUACAGAAAAAAAGCUUUCUAAACAGAUGGCAGGCUACACUUGUUAGGUGUGUUGAAUUACAAGAUAAUGGUAUUAUGAACAGUUGCAUUCUCUGUGAAAGCUCUAAAAUAAGCAAAUGUUCCUAACUGGAUCUGUAAACUGUCUGUUGUUUGUUUUCAUUGGUGAAGUAUCUUUGUUCCUAGAAAUACAGUAGCUCUUAAUAUAAGUUGUAUAGUUCAACUUCUAAUGUAUAGAUACAGCACUCUUACUUUUAAAGGAAGUGCUCUCUAAGUUUUUUUUUAAGAGAUAUUUCACUAUCACAACAAACCUUUUCUAUUGUAUGAAGUGUGUGUGAAGCAUGUGCUAAAAAUUGCAUCAUGAACAUAAUCAGGUUAAACUGUGAUUUGUUUCAGACCUCAUUUUAAGUUUCCAGUCACUUUAAACUUAAUAAAAUACUUGCCUUUUAGAAAACA